AUUUGUUGUGUCCUCCCAUGCCUAAGGAAAUUCCUGCAGAAAACUGUAGACCAAGCAACACCAACCUUCACUCAUCUGACAAUCGAUGAUCAAGACCUCAUCUCACCCUGUAUUCCACUACAAACUCUCCCUUAUACUGAUGAAGUGCAGAAAGUCUAGGAAGGGACAGUACAGGGACAGCGUCCGUCUUUAUGGGUAGACUGCCGUACGGAGAAGUAGUGGAUAAGCCACUAUGGGUUACCAGCGGAGUGAAGAGUGUUCCUGAACCGUACUGAUGGAUGUGCUGCAGCCUGUUAGGGUCAAGAGAGGGAUAGACUUGCACUUUGCAUUAACACUAAGUCAGCGGUCAUGGGGUUUCUGUGUCUUUGGGCUAACACAUCUUCUGAUACUAACAAAUAAAGUUUUGUCUUUUAGCAAAUAACAUUUUAAGGGG